ACGGAAGGCAGCAGUGAGGAAUAUUGGUCAAUGGGCGAGAGCUUGAACCAGCCAAGUCGCGUGCGGGACGAAGGCCCUACGGGUCGUAAACCGCUUUUAUACGGGAAUAAAGUGCGCCACGCGUGGCGUUUUGCAGGUACCGUAGGAAUAAGGAUCGGCUAACUCCGUGCCAGCAGCCGCGGUAAUACGGAGGAUCCGAGCGUUAUCCGGAUUUAUUGGGUUUAAAGGGUGCGCAGGCGGAUCGGUAAGUCAGGGGUGAAAAGUUGGGGCUCAACUCCAAUCGUGCCUUUGAUACUGCCGGACUAGAGUGCGAUAGACGUGGCCGGAAUGUGAUGUGUAGCGGUGAAAUGCUUAGAUAUGUCACAGAACACCGAUCGAGAAGUCAGGUCACGAGCUCGCAACUGACGCUCAGGCACGAAAGCGUGGGGAUCAAACAGGAUUAGAUACCCUGGUA
rnacentral:rRNA from 1 species